CUCUGUGACUCCUACGGGAGGCAGCAGUGGGGAAUAUUGCACAAUGGGGGAAACCCUGAUGCAGCCAUGCCGCGUGUGUGAAGAAGGCCUUCGGGUUGUAAAGCACUUUCAGUAGGGAGGAAGGUAGUGUAGUUAACACCUGCACUAUUUGACGUUACCUACAGAAGAAGCACCGGCUAACUCCGUGCCAGCAGCCGCGGUAAUACGGAGGGUGCGAGCGUUAAUCGGAAUUACUGGGCGUAAAGCGCAUGCAGGCGGCCUGUUAAGUCAGAUGUGAAAGCCCGGGGCUUAACCUCGGAAUUGCAUUUGAAACUGGCAGGCUAGAGUCUUGUAGAGGGGGUAGAAUUUCAGGUGUAGCGGUGAAAUGCGUAGAGAUCUGAAGGAAUACCGGUGGCGAAGGCGGCCCCCUGGACAGAUACUGACACUCAGAUGCGAAAGCGUGGGGAGCAAACAGGAUUAGAUACCCUGGGAG
rnacentral:rRNA from 1 species